rnacentral:rRNA from 1 species
UACGGGGGGAGCAAGCGUUGUUCGGAUUUACUGGGCGUAAAGGGCGCGUAGGCGGCCUGUGCAAGUCAGUUGUGAAAUCUCCGAGCUUAACUCGGAACGGUCAACUGAUACUGCUCGGCUAGAGUGCGGAAGGGGCAACUGGAAUUCUUGGUGUAGCGGUGAAAUGCGUAGAUAUCAAGAGGAACACCUGCGGCGAAGGCGGGUUGCUGGGACGGUACUGACGCUGAGACGCGAAAGCGUGGGGAGCGAACAGG